rnacentral:rRNA from 1 species
AGUGAACGCUGGCGGUAUGCCUAACACAUGCAAGUCGAACGGCAGCACCCUACUAGCUUGCUACUACGGGUGGCAACUGGUGAACGAGUCAGGAAUACUCCGCAAUCUACUUCUUCGUGAGGGUUGACGACGGGAACCAUAAGCUAAUACCGCCCACGACCUACGGGUUAAAGCAGGGGAUUUUCGGAUGUUGCACGAUCUCAUGGCCUGAUGUCGGAUUAGCUAGUUGGCGGGGUAAAGGCCCACCAAGGCGACGACCCGUAGCUGGUCUGUGAGGAUGAUCAGCCACACUGGAACUGAGACACGGUCCAGACUCCUACGGGAGGCAGCGAUGGGGAAUAUUGGACAAUGGGCGCAAGCCUGAUCCAGCCAUACCGCGUGGGUGAAGAAGGCCUUCGGGUUGUAAGGCCCUUUUGUUGGGGAAGAAAAGCAGCAGGUUAAUACCCCGCUGUUCUGACGGUACCCAAAGAAUAAGCACCGGCUAACUUCGUG